AACGAACGCUGGCGGCAGGCCUAACACAUGCAAGUCGAACGCUCUCUUCGGAGGGAGUGGCAGACGGGUGAGUAACGCGUGGGAAUCUACCCAGCUCUACGGAAUAACGCAUGGAAACGUGUGCUAAUACCGUAUACGCCCCAUGGGGAAGGAAUUAUCGGAGUUGGAUGAGCCCGCGUCUGAUUAGCUAGUUGGUGAGGUAAUGGCUCACCAAGGCGACGAUCAGUAGCUGGUCUGAGAGGAUGACCAGCCACACUGGGACUGAGACACGGCCCAGACUCCUACGGGAGGCAGCAGUGGGGAAUAUUGGACAAUGGGCGCAAGCCUGAUCCAGCCAUGCCGCGUGAGUGAUGACGG
rnacentral:rRNA from 1 species